UAGCUCAGUGGUUAAGAGCACUGGUUGCUCUUCCAGGGGUCCUGGGUUCAAUUCCCAG
rnacentral:tRNA from 1 species